CCAGUACUUCUUACUAUCAGAACCAAUCCUCAGGAGAAAUGCAGUAUUUAACAACAUUUAAGAUGAAAGAAGCUUGCUUAUUAAACAAAAUGUGCCAUCACCAACUCUGUUGGCCAAUUCCACAACAUUUAUGAAUUCCUAUCCUCUUCAUCCAAGUCAUAAUAUCCUGCUUCUAAUGCCAAGCUUUGCAUCAACCCAAAUAUGUAUAAGAUGGGAAGAAGAUAUGGAGCCCAACCACAGACUGAAGAUACCUUGAUUACAGAAGGCUUUGCAGACCUCGGUUAUUUCAAACAUUUUUGUUUUCUGCUUGGUAUCACAGAAUAUUUUUACCCCAGUGCAGUAUACCAGUAAAUUAGAAUGAGAGAGAGGUGACCUUUCUUGUCAAAAUGGAAGAAGAGUGAUUGUUCAAGAGGAGUCAGGAAGAGAGAUUUUGUACUGCUCUGAGUUUCUGAUUGUU
rnacentral:lncRNA from 1 species